GGCAGAGCCAGGAGGAAGUGAAGGCAUUAAAACACUACCUUUGGUUUGUUGCUAUCUUCUUAGUGCUGAGACUGUAACCUUUGUUGGUUGAUAGAGAACAAGAAAGCAAAAUCCUCGUUCCACUAACAGCUCUCUAUUUCAGUGCUUCUCUCCUACCAGAGGUGCAAGGAGUGAUCCUAGAACCACAGAUACAGCCAAGACCACGGAGAGCUUUUGACGUCAGGGGUCCACUUUCUCCACUGAACCCUUGGAGGCAGAAUAUCCAGCUUCUGGAGAGAGUGGGAAAGGAUAAUAACAAAUUUCUUUCAACUGCUAAAACAUCAUACUUCUUCAGCAAAAGGAAUUCUUCUAGCAGAGCCCUCAUGGAUGAUAUCUGUCACACAUGCCAGCACCUGCAGUUUGGAAGGCAGUGGUGAAUGGAUCCAUGCAAUAUGUCUAGAAGAUAACAAGGAUGAGCGAGCCACCUGAUCUUGUCAUUUAUAAACUUUGAGAUUUACUUUGGUUUACUCUUGGUCUGAAAAUGGAAAGGCUCAAAUAAUGAAAUAAUCUUUUCAGAUUGGAAUUUACAUGGCCAUGAAAAUAUCCCUUUCUAUUCAGAAGAUUGAAAUAGAGGAAGCUUGAGAGACUCCUCUCUCUAUCUGUUUCACUUAAAAGAUUUGUGGGAUUGAAAAUCACCUUACUGAAGUAGACAAGAUUUAUUUUUUUAUUUUUUUAAGUAGUAGAGGAAGUCCAAAAAACGUAAUGAAAUGGUUUUUUGUUGCCUAACAUUGAAAGGAACUAGUAAAUAA